UUUAACAUAAUCUACAUCAUCUGGUUUAUAUCUGACUCUGUGUUUGUGUUACAGGAAUAUUGCAGCAAAUUAAUUCACUGGAAGAAAUGUUUGCCAGGCUACUGAAAAUAUAGGUGAAAAGUUCAUUUUUAAAUUCAGAUCUUUGUUCCUGCUAGCCUCCAGUUUGAAAGAACAGUUUGAAGAUGGGAGGUAAUUCUCAAGCUAAUGGUCUUCUGGUGAUCAAGUGGGGAAACACCUGGAUGGAGACACACAGAGGUCCUACACUGGGGGAGCUGCAGGAACAGGUUGAGCCUACAGGAUCAGGCCCAGGUCAGUCUGCCACUCUCUUGCAUGGUGCUUGAAAUGCUGCCAGUUGAUCACAUAUGGCCAUGUAGAAAUUUUCUGCUCAGAGUCUUUAAAUUUUCUUCUCAAUGUGUUAACUUUCCAUGGUUUGUUUUUUUUUUUUUUUUUUAAUGGGUCAGGAGACAGUAAUUCUCAUCCUUGAAAACUAAAAAUGUUUUAUUAUUUUAAAAAUAGUCUUUUAACAGAUCAGAAAGUGUAACCUCUUUUUACAUCACACAUAGAGAAGAUAAAUCAUUGGAUGCCUUAAUUUAUAAGUACCCAUUAUAUUCCAGCUUCAUUGCCAGUAUCUAUUUACACAUUUCCCACAAAGAAAUUAAAAUAGAAGAACAUAUUGUU